AUUGAACGCUGGCGGCAUGCUUUACACAUGCAAGUCGAACGGCAGCACGGACUUCGGUUUGGUGGCGAGUGGCGAACGGGUGAGUAAUACAUCGGAACGUGCCCAGUUGUGGGGGAUAACUACUCGAAAGAGUAGCUAAUACCGCAUGAGAACUGAGGUUGAAAGCAGGGGAUCGUAAGACCUUGCGCAACUGGAGCGGCCGAUGGCAGAUUAGGUAGUUGGUGGGAUAAAAGCUUACCAAGCCGACGAUCUGUAGCUGGUCUGAGAGGACGACCAGCCACACUGGGACUGAGACACAGCCCAGACUCCUACGGGAGGCCGCAGUGGGGAAUUUUGGAAAAUGGGCGCAAGCCUGAUCCAGCAAUGCCGCGUGCAGGAUGAAGGCCUUCGGGUUGUAAACUGCUUUUGUACGGAACGAAAAGGCUCUGGUUAAUACCUGGGGCUCAUGACGGUACCGUAAGAAUAAGCACCGGCUAACUACGUGCCAGCCGCCGCCGUAAUAC
rnacentral:rRNA from 1 species